UUCAGCUCUUUUGAUCAUCCCAUGUUUGCUGACUUUGCUUUUCCCUCUUUCUCUGCCCUUUCUAAGAACUCUCCUGAAAGGAUGAAGCCUAGAAUGCUUUGCUCUUAGAAUGAGGUUCAGCCGUUUGCUCUGCUUUUUGGCUUAAGGCAGAUUUUAAUGCAUCUCUUCGUGUGGCAAAGUGUGGCAAGGAUGAGAUUAAACAGUAGGAUGGUGUGAAGUUCUGUAAAAUUUUGCCAUCCCCGCCCUCUCACCCUCCUCUUUUCCUGCUCCCUUUCAUGUGUACUCUUGGCUUAAAUUUUUGCAGGGUUUUGGUGCUUUCCAGGGCCACAGUCAGUACAAAACUAGUGUGCGUCAGUUAAUAACAGGUAUGAAAACAUAGGCCGUGAUAAAAGCUUCCAUAUAAAACAAUUAACAUGUUAAAUUGGGGAGCGGGUGGGAUGGGAUGGCUGCAUUCCUUUGAUUCCUUUGUUGGAAGUACGAAUCUGGAUCCAGACAUUUUUAGUGUUUGCUUCUCACUGUGGUUCCCAGGGCAGGAAUGCCGGCAAUUCUAGUGAUGAUCUUUCAGUAUUUCGUAAGCAAUUUAUUCACAGCUUGUAUAGAAGCUUAAGGUUCAAGGUGCAGGAAAUACUGGAGGAACUUGCUAAUUAGAGCAAAAUUGUUCAGAUAAGCACUUCAAUAAACAUUCUUCAUUGUCAUUUUUUAACAUGCGUGUUGCCGCUAAGGGGCUGUUUAUAUCUAAGAAAGUGCUCAUUUAUUUAAAAGCAUUUAUCUCCAUGACACUCUCCUAGUAAAAAUGUUUCUUUGCCAUUAGAACUCUACUACCACAUAUUUUGAAAUAGGUACAUUUUAAAUAGGGUCAAAUUCUAUUUUAAUUUUUUUUUUUUGCAGCUGCAGAUUAAGAAUUUGUCUUGAGUGGAUGCAAGCUUUCACCAAUCUUUUUUUGUUUGCAUCUCCUCUUCUUGCCAUAUCUCACGAGGCUUAUCCCGCUAUCAAUAAAGCUUUGUGCGGUGGCGGUUUAUGAAAUGAUGGGUGUCACUUUGGGGCAAAGGCCUCUGUAUCCUGUAGGUCUGGUGGGGAGGCUCACUUUCCAAGCACUUUCCUCAGAUUUGUUCUCCCCCCCCCCACACACCAUUUUUCUGGUGAUCUGCAUAAAGGCAGUGAAGGCAAUAUGGUUCCACUGUGAUCCCUUCCCUUUUGUCAGUUUGCAAGCACUUCGCUGGUGUGGCUUGACAUGUGCCUCCCUUGCCAGAGCAUUUGCAGGCAGCCUAGAGAGGGAAGGGGUGUCACUGGAAAUCACCUUGCAGCUGGCCAGGUGCUGGCCUAUGGUGAUCUGCAGAGCAUUUCCCUUCCCUUUUCUGGGCAGCUUGCGAGUGCUUACAGGAGAAGCAGUAUGCUCCUGAGGGACUGGGCUCACCAGUGUAACCCGUCCAGGAAGCAUCGCCUUCCCUUUAAUUGAGCUAUAAGUGCCCUUGACGUUGGGACCGCUCUUGCAUUUUUGUCCCUGAUUGGCUCUGAUCACUCAGGAAGAGAGAUGAGUGGGGGAAACAGCAGCACUGCAGUAGCAGUCCAGAGAAGCAGCAAAGGCUUCUCUGGACUGCUUCUGGUUUUGUCAGAAUUUUUUUUUACCAUCUUCAAAAGCACAAAAUCUUGGGCAGACAUUCAAUGGAGCUCCAGUGUCCCAUCUUUCAGGAAAACUAUGCUGGCUCUGUAAGGUUUCAUAUAGCUUAGGUUGAUGUGUCUCAGGCCUACAGUUUACAGGAAGAAAAAAAAAAUCUAUAUUCUUACAAGAAUGGCUCGCAACAACAGAGGCCAUCAAAGUAGCUAGAAACAAAACGGCCUCAGACCCGCACACCCCUUGGGAAAACGCACGGUGGCAUUAGUAGCUUCUUUUUUAACCUGUUUUUUGUCCAACCAGCUCCCACCUGCAGGGAUGGUCUCCAAAGCCUGUUCCUUGAGUACUCCUCUGUCCAGCUUUUGUAAAGGGUGUGGGGCGGAUGUGGGGACAGCGUGGAAUGAACGUUGGUGCUUUAAAGGGGAUCCCCAUUAUAUGUUUUUUUCCUGCAAGCUGAACAAAAACUUCUUCUAUAUACCCUUGUGCUGCAACAGCGUAAUAAUACUGGUAGGUGGCAGCCGAAGAAGGAGCUAAUGCGGAUGGCACCUGGGAACUGAGAAGGCUGCCAUGUGGGGAGCGAUGGAUUCCCAAACAUUAGAUGAUGUAACAGACAAAGAGGAGAGCCAGCGUCCCUGGCCUGUCAAUCUGCAUGGUGGUAGUUACAUCUCACCCCUAUUCUGAACUGAGUCAACUUGCUGGGACUGUCUUUAGAAAAAAACAAGCGAACCUUAAGGCCGCAGGUGAAGAUUUUCUUGCAUCCAAACUGAUCUUUCUGGCAGAAGGAUUUUGAUGCUAGAUCAGCAGCCCCAGAUACGGAAGCUGUCUCAUCGCAAGACAGGUAAUGAACCAGGAGGGAAGGGAGGGGGGCUCUGGGAAGCAGCAUGCUUUUCUAAUAGGAGCUCAUAUUCUCUCCUGUGCCUCUUUCUCCCUCCCCUGGACCCACCCCACUCCCAUCGAUGAAGAACCAUCUCUGUGGCUAGUCUCAGUAUCCUUGAUGGUGGUGGCCACUAGCAACGAAGCCAGCUACUGUGAUGGUGGUUUUUGUGAUUUUCAUUUCUCCAUUUUCCCCUUCCCUUCAGCUUCUGAGUGUUUAAUUACGAUCUCUCUCUCUCUCUCUCUCUCUCUCUCUCUCUCUCUCUCUCUCUCUCUCUCUCUCUCUCUCUCUCUCU